UGUUAGGAUAUUUCCGUUCCACCUUAAAAGGGAGCAGGCUUUGUGAGUCAGAGUCUGCGUAUUUCCUGUUCACAGGAUGUUUAUGUUUUCUGUUGCUUUCGUUUUCUCUCUGGUGUCGCAGACACUAAAGCAGUCAGUCAUGUUUUUCUGUGUUCUGAUCAACGCUGAAUAAACUUGUAAAUAAUGCUCUCCUGACUGCAACUUUUGGCUGUGCAUUAUCUGCUGAUACAGUGUGCAUGAGCUCUGGAAUGUGGCAAGAAAUCUUCUAGAAACUCAUGUCGCUAAUUGUUGAUACUGCGUGACUACGGGAGGUCGAUGGAUCGUCCGGCAGCCGGCUUGGGGGCCAUGAUGGACUUUAUCUCCCUGGCAGUAUCCCAACAACAGGUUUCGGGCCCAGAUUCACAGCACUUACAGGAGAGUAAGACUGCGACAGACUGCUGAAAGGUAUGUGGAGGAAAAGCGAAAGUGAGGCUUUUCUGUUUGCCGAGGCAAGGGCCUUUGAUCUCCGGCAGAUUAAUGGAUCUGGGAGCCGCGCCAAAGGCCUCAAGAUUUAUGAGCUGCCGAGAUAAGACGUCUCUGAAGUGAAUUAGACUCACGGCUCGAAUAGAAACCUGGAAUGGAGUUUUUCCAAGCUUCUGAGGCUGCUGAGUGCCCAAAGUUAAAUCGGCACAAUUAUGGGACCUGGGCUGUGUGGUGUGAGAGCUUGCUGCGUCAGUUUGGAGUGUGGCAUACUGUGUCUGAAGCCCCUCCAGUUCCUCUGACAGAUAGAUGGGAGGCCGAAAAUUCGAGGGCGAUAGAUGUAAUCGUCUUGUCCGUCUCUCUGGAGGAAAUAAAACGCUAGCUGGCAAUCUGACUGCACGUAAUAUGUGGCAUGCUUUGAAGAUAGCCCAUCUGCCAGUCAUCCCAGCCCAGAGUUUGACUGCAUCGGAGGUCCUGGCUGUUUCCCAGAAUGCGAGUGAAUGCAGGGAUGCUGAGGGCACCGGUUGCAAGCUGCAGGGGGGAGCUGACUGUCACGUCAUCCCAGGCAGCAUUCCAGCCUCCAGGGGAGCCAAGGAGUCGGCAGCUGAGAGCUCUGUUUCUCAUGGGAGCCAAGGUCAUCGCCUUUGCAGAGGCCGGAAGGGCAAAGGUAAACAGAGGCAGACGCCUGCAGAUGGCCAGAAGCAGAGGGAGGGUGAAGAGCCCACGCCAGAGGAAAACAAGGCUUUGUUUGCUGGCACAGCUGCACCAAAGGCUAAAGGCAAGUCUGAUGGCCAGGAGCAGGGGGGCAAGCUGCAAAAGCCCACGCCAGUGGAAAACAAGGUUUUGUUUACUGGCACAGCUUCACCAAAGGCUAAAGGCAAGUCUGAUGGCCAGGAGCAGGGGGGCAAGCUGCAAAAGCCCACGCCGGUGGAAAACAAGGUUUUGCUUGCUGCAAAGGCUGCUCCAAAAGCCAAGGCCAGGUUUGUUGUUGAUUCAGGCUGUACCCGCCAUGUCUCAAAGGACCGCCACCUAUUUAUCUCCUUCAAACCUCAAGAAGGUGAGAUCCACCUGGCUGACGGAAAGACGUUGCGAAUCGCAGGAGAAGGGACUGUGAAACUGGCAAGUCUGCACACUACCAUCAAAGAUGUACUAUAUGUUCCAGGUGCUGCAGACAAUUUGCUCAGUGUCCCACAGCUGACUGGGCGUGGUUUUGAGAUUUCCUUCAAGAGGAGCGUCUGUGUCAUCAGAAAAGGCAAAGAGGACAUUUUGCAUGCAAAGUUUAUGGAUGGCUUGUUCUGUAUAACUUAUGAUGACAUUGGUGCUGUUGUGUCUAAUGUUGAUUCUUGUUGUGUUGCACAAACUAACAAAGUUCUUCAUGCAGGAUGCAUUCAUGAUGCACACAGAAGAUUUUGUCAUCAUGUCUUGGCAGGCGCUGGCCAAGAUGCCAGAGAUGGUUGAGGGUUUGAACAUCAAACCCUGUAAGUUUCACAUGAAAUGUGUAUCUUGUGCAGAGAACAAGGUGAAGGUUGCUCCAAAAGGCAAGGAGUCUAGCAGGCAGGCUUCCAAACCCUACCAGCUAGUGCACGCAGACCUGGUUGGUCCACUUGCGCCCUCUUUGGGUGGAGCAAGGUACUUCAUGGUUCUAAUUGAUUCUUUUUCCAGGUACAUUCAUGUGUUUAUGCUCGAGCAGAAAUCGCAAGCGUUUCCUAAGUUCAAGGCAUUCUGUGCUUGGUUGGAGAAUGUUCACGGUAAACGUAUUGGCUGUCUGUUUACUGAUCGAGGCGGGAGUUCACUUCUCAGCAGUUUGAAGCUUUCCUGACUGAGAAGGGAAUCCAGCAUGACUUGUCAACGCCUAGAUCGCCAUGGAUGAAUGGGCUUGCGGAGCGAGCAAAUCAAACGUUGCUGCAAGGAAUGAAAACAUUGUUGCAUGAUGCCAAUCUCCCUGAUAAGUAUUGGGGGGAGGCUCUGUCGAAUUUUGCUUACACUUAUAAUCGCAGAUUGUCAUCACCUAUUGGUUGUACUCCCUAUGAGAAGAUGUUUGGUAAGAAACCCAACAUCAAGCACAUGAGAAUCUUUGGUUCUGACAUGUGGGUACACACCCCACAGAGCAACAAGCUUGGGAAGCGUGGGGCACAUGGUUUGUUCAUGGGGUACGAAAAGGUGCAUACAGGGUAUGGAUGACUGACUCUAAGUCCAUUAAGUUCACAAAGAGUGUUGAGUACAAUCCUAAGUGGGGGGAAAAUGUGGGAAUUUUCCAGAGUUACCCAGAGGAGGAUGAAGGUGAUGUCAAAGAAGCAGCUAAAGCUGAGGAAGCUGCUGAGGAUGAUGAUGACGAUGAUGAUCAGAGUUCGGAUUCCAGUUCAGUGGGCGGCGCUGCUGCUGAUGUCAGUGACAGUGAUGACACAGCAGACUACAAGAGCGCAAAGGCCUCAGUCAGACCAUCUGAUGCGUCUGACAAUGAACUGGAAGAACCACUGUUCACCAUUGGUCACUUUUCUCCUAAGAAGGAGGAGAUGAGUCCAGAAGACUUGCGUCUAGUACGCAGAUCUGACAGCGCCACCAAGGGCAGACCUCCAAAGAGAUUUGCUGAUGAGUUUGCUAAGACAGCAACUGCUGUUCUUAGUAGCUCAGAGAAGGUGUGGGAACCUUCAAGCUUCAAAGAGGUUCAGGAGUUAACCUCUAAAGAUGCUGAGCCUUGGCUUAAUGCCAUGAAGGCUGAAGUUGAUUCCUUGAAUAGGAACCAAACUUGGGAAUUGGUACCGGUAGUCCCAGGAAUGAGACUGGUUGGCAGCAAAUGGGUCUUCAAGGCCAAGACAGACCAGAAUGGCAAGGUUGUCAGACACAAAGCCAGAUUGGUUGCCAGAGGUUUUUCACAGGUACCAGGACAGGAUUACCACGAGACCUACUCACCCACAGUCAAAUAUGAGAGCAUUCGGCUGAUGCUCAAGAUAGCUGCAGAGGAGAAACUGCAUGUUUCCCAUCAUGACAUUAAUACAGCUUUUUUGUACGGGAUUCUGGGGGAGGAGCUGUUUAUGCUUCCACCUGACGGGAUGCAGAUACAGAAGGGAAUGGUCUGUAAACUGCGGAAAUCCUUAUAUGGUCUCAAGCAGAGUGCCAGGUGUUGGAACACGAAACUCACUGAGACGUUGCUUUCUCUAGGUUUUCACCAGGGCAAAGCUGAUCCAUGUGUGUUUGUCAAGGAGGAGGGGCAAAACAAACUGUAUUGUUUAUGUUUUGUUGAUGAUCUUCUGAUGUUUUGGAAGAAUCAGGCUUUCUACCAAAGCACCCUAGCUCAGCUGAAGGAGCACUUUGACAUGAAGGAUCUUGGUGAGGUAUCCAACUAUCUUUCUCUGCAGGUGGAGAGGGACCAAGCAGGUAAUUUUCUGGUACACCAAACACAGAAAAUUGCUGAUGUAUUAACCAGGUUGAAUUUGGUUGAUGCAAACCCAGCAGACACACCGAUGGUGACAGGUUACCAGGUAGACAGUACUGCUGAAGCGUUUUCUGACACAACGCUGUACAGAUGCAUUCUAGGCAAGUUGAAUUUCAUUGCUAGAUGCUCAAGACCUGACAUAGCUGUAAGCUGUAACCUGCUUAGCAGACAUGCCAACAAUCCUACUGUUCAGGAUUGGAAAGCUCUGAAGCGCAUAGCCCGCUAUUUGAAAGGGACUUUGCACUACAGGCUGAGGUUCACCAGUCAGAAGACUGGAGGUCUUGAAAUCUUUGCAGAUGCAAGUUUUGGAAGUGACACCACGGAUGGUACAAGCACUUCUGGAGUAUGCUACAUGUACAACCACUGCCUGUUUGACUGGUUGUGCAAAAAGCAGACGACAGUGAGCCUAAGUUCCUGUGAAGCAGAACUCAAUGCUCUGUCAUUUUCACUCAUGGAUUGUGAAUGGUUGAUGCAACUGUUUAAGGACAUCGGAGUUUCUGUGAAAUGUCCUGUACAAGUGUAUCAAGACAAUAGAUCGUGUUUGGCUUUGCUGAACUCGGAGAGUUGCAAGCAAAGGACCAAGUACUUGCAGAUUAAGCUACAUCGUGCAAGAGAGUGUAUUCAGAAAGGACUCAUUCAGGUGUCCUACAUGCCAGGAAAUGAAAUUCCUGCUGAUCUGUUGUCUAAGGUUGUUAACAGAGAACAACUUAAGGUUUAUGUACAAAGGUUGCAAUUGGGUUGAACCACAGGUACUACAGGUUACACGGAAAGGGGAGGAUGUUAGGAUAUUUCCGUUCCACCUUAAAAGGGAGCAGGCUUUGUGAGUCAGAGUCUGCGUAUUUCCUGUUCACAGGAUGUUUAUGUUUUCUGUUGCUUUCGUUUUCUCUCUGGUGUCGCAGACACUAAAGCAGUCAGUCAUGUUUUUCUGUGUUCUGAUCAACGCUGAAUAAACUUGUAAAUAAUGCUCUCCUGACUGCAACUUUUGGCUGUGCAUUAUCUGCUGAUAGAGUGUGCAUGAGCUCUGGAAUGUGGCAAGAAAUCUUCUAGAAACUCAUGUCGCUAAUUGUUGAUACUGCGUGACUACGGGAGGUCGAUGGAUCGUCCGGCAGCCGGCUUGGGGGCCAUGAUGGACUUUAUCUCCCUGGCAGUACCCCAACAGU
rnacentral:lncRNA from 1 species